UAUACCGUGAAACUGCGAAUGGCUCAUUAAAUCAGUUAUCGUUUAUUUGAUAGUACCUUACUACUUGGAUAACCGUGGUAAUUCUAGAGCUAAUACAUGCUAAAAACCUCGACUUCGGAAGGGGUGUAUUUAUUAGAUAAAAAACCAAUGCCCUUCGGGGCUCACUGGUGAUUCAUAAUAACUUAACGAAUCGCAUGGCCUUGUGCCGGCGAUGGUUCAUUCAAAUUUCUGCCCUAUCAACUUUCGAUUGUUGGGUCUUGGCCAACAAUGGUUUCAACGGGUAACGGGGAAUUAGGGUUCUAUUCCGGAGAGGGAGCCUGAGAAACGGCUACCACAUCCAAGGAAGGCAGCAGGCGCGCAAAUUACCCAAUCCUGAUACAGGGAGGUAGUGACAAUAAAUACUGAUACAGGGCUCUUUUGGGUCUUGUAAUUGGAAUGAGUACAAUUUAAAUCCCUUAACGAGGAACAAUUGGAGGGCAAGUCUGGUGCCAGCAGCCGCGGUAAUUCCAGCUCCAAUAGCGUAUAUUAAAGUUGUUGCAGUUAAAAAGCUCGUAGUUGAACCUUGGGCCUGGCUGGCCGGUCCGCCUCACCGCGUGCACUGGUCCGGCCGGGCCUUUCCUCCUGGGGAGCCGCAUGCCCUUCACUGGGUGUGUCGGGGAACCAGGACUUUUACUUUGAAAAAAUUAGAGUGUUCAAAGCAGGCCUAUGCUCGAAUACAUUAGCAUGGAAUAAUAGAAUAGGACGUGUGGUUCUAUUUUGUUGGUUUCUAGGACCGCCGUAAUGAUUAAUAGGGACAGUUGGGGGCAUCAGUAUUUAAUUGUCAGAGGUGAAAUUCUUGGAUUUAUUAAAGACUAACUACUGCGAAAGCAUUUGCCAAAGAUGUUUUCAUUAAUCAGUGAACGAAAGUUAGGGGAUCGAAGACGAUCAGAUACCGUCGUAGUCUUAACCAUAAACUAUGCCGACUAGGGAUCGGGCGAUGUUAUCUUUUUGACUCGCUCGGCACCUUACGAGAAAUCAAAGUCUUUGGGUUCUGGGGG
rnacentral:rRNA from 1 species